rnacentral:rRNA from 1 species
CCUACGGGAGGCAGCAGUGGGGAAUUUUGGACAAUGGGCGCAAGCCUGAUCCAGCAAUGCCGCGUGAGUGAAGAAGGCCUUCGGGUUGUAAAGCUCUUUUGUCAGGGAAGAAACGGUGGGAGCUAAUAUCUCCCGCUAAUGACGGUACCUGAAGAAUAAGCACCGGCUAACUACGUGCCAGCAGCCGCGGUAAUACGUAGGGUGCAAGCGUUAAUCGGAAUUACUGGGCGUAAAGCGUGCGCAGGCGGUUUUGUAAGUCUGUCGUGAAAGCCCCGGGCUCAACCUGGGAAUUGCG